GAUGAACGCUGGCGGCGUGCCUAAUACAUGCAAGUCGAGCGAAUGGAUUAAGAGCUUGCUCUUAUGAAGUUAGCGGCGGACGGGUGAGUAACACGUGGGUAACCUGCCCAUAAGACUGGGAUAACUCCGGGAAACCGGGGCUAAUACCGGAUAACAUUUUGAGCCGCAUGGUUCGAAAUUGAAAGGCGGCUUCGGCUGUCACUUAUGGAUGGACCCGCGUCGCAUUAGCUAGUUGGUGAGGUAACGGCUCACCAAGGCAACGAUGCGUAGCCGAACUGGGAGGGUGGUCGGCCACACUGGGACUGAGAGACGGCCCAGACUCCUACGGGAGGCAGCAGUAGGGAAUCUUCCGCAAUGGACGAAAGUCUGACGGAGCAACGCCGCGUGAGUGAUGAAGGCUUUCGGGUCGUAAAACUCUGUUGUUAGGGAAGAACAAGUGCUAGUUGAAUAAGCUGGCACCUUGACGGUACCUAACCAGAAAGCCACGGCUAACUACGUGCCAGCCGCCGCAGUAA
rnacentral:rRNA from 1 species